rnacentral:lncRNA from 1 species
UCCUUGUGGUCAUUUACUGAUCGCUACGGUAUUGUUUAUACCAAGCUUGAUUUGAUCCUGAGAUGAUAGUGUGAUGUCCGAGGUUGGUAAGUGAUGCAUGUGACGGUUACCAAGUAACCCGAGCGGAAUAAGUGGUGCAUAUAGUGUCAUCAUGUUGCAUGCUAGUAUUGUUGGAUUAAUAUGUUCAUGUUGUGUUAGUUGUAUCAUGUUCAUGUUAUAUUGUUCUGAUGAUAUCAUGAUAAUCCCUGCUUAACCUAUAAUUGCCAUGCUGUUGUUUGCCUUGAAUGCUUCUGGUUAUUGUGAGCUUGCAAGUACAUUCAAUGUACUGACCUGGCGUGUCAUGCCAGUUUGUAGGUCAUUCCGGAUUUGAUUGCUUGUUUUCCGUGGAGUCCUUGUUUGCAAGCUAGGAUAAGCGUUCCAGCCAGAGUCCCUGCGGAGUGGAGUUCACCACCGUCGUUGUUGUUCCGCUGCUAGAGUUCUUCCGCUGCAUCAUGUUGUUCUGCUGCUUGCAUAGAGAAACAGUGGCAGGCGUAGUAUCGCCGUGCUGAUGUAACCAUUGUACCCAAAUAGAUUGUAAUAAAGAGCUGGUUUGUUCUAUGCUAAGCUGUGCCUAUUCCAGAAGACUUCAUCUCGAUCCCUGGGCUGGAAUACGGGGCGUUCCGGUUUUCUCUAAGCCGGGGUGCCACAGGCUUGGUAUUAGAGCAGGUCUGGUUGUAGGACACCCUAGGCCGCGCGAACGUUAGAAACCGGUAUAUAGACCCCAGUUUGUUUGUUGCACUUGAUUGAUGCAUUUGUUUGUCGCAUAGCAUGCAUAUAGAUUUUUAUUUAGUCGCUAACGGUUAAUCUUGGGAGUGUAGGUGGUAUCGGUUCCGACCCACUACCUACGCCCUCCUUCUUAUCAUGCCUGCUCUUCGGUGUGGUGCGACCACAUCAUCAUCCAUGCCCUCCAUCUCGUUCUUUUGGCAACCCUUGCUGACCUUUGUUAUCAAAAAAUGGCAAUGCCAUUAGACGCAGUCUUCCACUGUUAUCUUGCCUUGUCAUUUCAUUCUUUGGAUGGGUACUGUGACGCCCGGAUAAUCAAGCUACAGUAACCCUCCACUAACGAUGCCACGUCACCUCCAUUAAGGUUACUAAUCUCGUGUUAGUUCGAAACCGAUUCAAAUCCAAAUUCAAAAUCAAACAAAUAAUAAAAGUUUUCCAAUCUUAAAACUAAAAUGUUCGGAGUGAGCCAGAUAAUGCAUAUGUAACUAUGGAGGAGAAACCAACCUCUUUGGAAGUGUUUGAUUGUCCCAAAGUAAAUAAAAUAGUAGCAAAACAAUUAAUUAAAUGCCUUUUACGAGUGACAAAAUAUUAAACUAUUUUAUCUAGUUGCCCAAGUUUUUGUGGCAUUAGAAUAUGUAGUAACACUAUUUUAGGAACUAACUUUAUAUUUUACUAAAACUAAAGUAUAUUGGAAAUAAUAAAAAACAGUAAAGGAAAAAUAAGUAAAAAGAAAAGAAUAAAACAGAAAGCAAAAAUAAAAGAAAAGGACCCCUGCCAACUGGGCCAGAUGGCCCAGCCGGCCAACCCACCAACCGGCCCAACCCCACCUCCAUAUCCCCACCAAGGGGAAACCCUAACUCCCCCGNNNNNNNNNNNNNNNNNNNNNNNNNNNNNNNNNNNNNNNNNNNNNNNNNNNNNNNNNNNNNNNNNNNNNNNNNNNNNNNNNNNNNNNNNNNNNNNNNNNNNNNNNNNNNNNNNNNNNNNNNNNNNNNNNNNNNNNNNNNNNNNNNNNNNNNNNNNNNNNNNNNNNNNNNNNNNNNNNNNNNNNNNNNNNNNNNNNNNNNNNNNNNNNNNGAUCCAGAUCGGGAUCGGGGAAAAGAACCCCCACAUCGCCCCCGACGCUAGCGCCACCCGGAUCGCGACCUCGCGGGAGGCCACGACACCGGAGCACCCUCGCCAGCCUGCAUCCUCCUCCCUACCGGCCUACCUCCUCUUUGCCGCCUCGUCCCCAACCCCCUCCUCGACCCCGUUGCCUCGUCCUCUGCUGUCCACGGUGAGGCCCUCGGCCUCUUCUUCCCCUCUCUGCCGCUCGCCGUGCUCCUCGCACCGGCCAUCGCCCUCCCGCGCUCCUGGCCACUGUGCUGCACGCGCCCACCGGCGUCGUUCUGCAUCCCGUGCUGUUGCUCCCGCUACUCCCGGCCUCGCGCCGCGGUGCCUCGCACUCGGGCCGCACCGCACCGGCCUUUGCUGCCGCGCGCUGGCGCCCCCGCGAGGCCACGACCUCGCCUCGUGCACCCAUGGCUCCGCCUCCUGCCGUCGUCACUGGCCGUCGCCGAUGUCGGCCGCCCGCAUAUCGGCGCCCCGCCGCGCCCCUNNNNNNNNNNNNNNNNNNNNNNNNNNNNNNNNNNNNNNNNNNNNNNNNNNNNNNNNNNNNNNNNNNNNNNNNNNNNNNNNNNNNNNNNNNNNNNNNNNNNNNNNNNNNNNNNNNNNNNNNNNNNNNNNNNNNNNNNNNNNNNNNNNNNNNNNNNNNNNNNNNNNNNNNNNNNNNNNNNNNNNNNNNNNNNNNNNNNNNNNNNNNNNNNNNNNNNNNNNNNNNNNNNNNNNNNNNNNNNNNNNNNNNNNNNNNNNNNNNNNNNNNNNNNNNNNNNNNNAAAAAAAGAGUUUAACAAAUUAAUUAAUUAAUUAACUUAAUUAAUCUGUAUUAGAUUAACCUAAUCAUUUAGUUAACUAUUUAACCAUGUUUAGUUAACCUGAGACUAUGACGAACGGGCCCCACGUGCCAGGGUUAACCUAGUCAACCUGUAGAACUGCUGACAUCAUGCUUAUGUCACACUGACCCAAUAAUUACCUUUUCUAAUUAAUUAAAAUCUAUUAAUUCCAAAAUUGAAUUAAAAUUUUAAAAAUUAAUAUAAAAUUGUUGGGGAACGUAGUAAUUUCAAAAAUUUCCUACGCACACGGAAGAUCAUGGUGAUGGCAUAGCAACGAGAGGGGAGAGUAUUGUCCACGUACCCUCAUAGACCGUAAGCGGAAGCGUUAGAACAACGCGGUUGAUGUAGUCGUACAUCUUCACGGCCCGACCGAUCAAGCACCGAAACUAUGGCACCUCCGAGUUCUAGCACACGUUCAGCUCGAUGACGUCCCUCGAACUCCGAUCCAGCCGAGUGUCGAGGGAGAGUUCCGUACGCAUGACGGCGUGGUGACGAUCUUGAUGUACUACCGACGCAGGGCUUCGCCUAAGCACCGCUAUGAUAUUAUCGAGGUGGAUUAUUGUGGAGGGGGGCACCGCACACGGCUAAGAGAUCCAAGGGAUCAAUUGUUGUUGUGCCUAGAGGUGCCCCCCUGCCCCCUUAUAUAAAGGAGCAAGGGGGGAGGGGGCGGCCGGCCUAGUAGGGGCGCGCCAAGGGGAGUCCUACUCCCACCGGGAGUAGGACUCCCUCCUUCCUUGUUAGAGUAGUCGAAGGGGGAAAGAGGGGGAGAGGAGGAAGGAAAAGGGGGCCGCACCUCUUGUCCAAUUCGGACUAGAGGGGGGCUGUGCACCUCCUUCCUUUCGGCCUCUCUCCUCUAUUCCUGUAUGGCCCAAUAAGGCCCAUAUACUCCCCGGCGAAUUCCCGUAACUCUCCGGUACUCCGAAAAAUACCUGAAUCACUCGGAACCUUUCUGAACUCCAAAUAUAGUCGUCCAAUAUAUCGAUCUUUACGUCUCGACCAUUUUGAGACUCUUCGUCAUGUCCCCGAUCUCAUCCGAGACUCCGAACUCCUUCGGUACAUCAAAACUCAUAAACUCAUAAUAUAACUGUCAUCGAAACCUUAAGCGUGCGGACCCUACGGGUUCGAGAACAAUGUAGACAUGACCUAGAACUAUUCUCGGUCAAUAAUCAAUAGCGGAACCUGGAUGCUCAUAUUGGCUCCCACAUAUUCUACGAAGAUCUUUAUCGGUCAAACCGCAUAACAACAUAUGUUGUUCCCUUUUGUCAUCGGUAUGUUACUUGCCCGAGAUUCAAUCGUCGAUAUCCAAUACCUAGUUCAAUAUCGUUACUGGCAAGUCUCUUUACUCGUUACGUAAUGCAUCAUCUUGCAACUAACUCAUUAGUCACAUUGCUUGCAAGGCUUAUAGUGAUGUGCAUUACCAAGAGGGCCCAGAGAUACCUCUCCGACAAUCGGAGUGACAAAACCUAAUCUCGAAAUACGCCAACCCAACAUGUACCUUUGGAGACACCUGUAGUACUCCUUUAUAAUCACCCAGUUACGUUGUGACGUUUGGUAGCACCCAAAGUGUUCCUCCGGUAAAUGGGAGUUGCAUAAUCUCAUAGUUACAGGAACAUGUAUAAGUCAUGAAGAAAGCAAUAGCAACAUACUAAACGAUCAAGUGCUAGGCUAACGGAAUGGGUCAUGUCAAUCACAUCAUUCUCCUAAUGAUGUGAUCCCGUUAAUCAGAUGACAACACAUGUCUAUGGUUAGGAAACAUAACCAUCUUUGAUCAACAAGCUAGUCAAGUAGAGGCAUACUAGUGACACUAUGUUUGUCUAUGUAUUCACACAUGUAUUAUGUUUCCGGUUAAUACAAUUCUAGCAUGAAUAAUAAACAUUUAUCAUGAUAUAAGGAAAUAAAUAAUAACUUUAUUAUUGCCUCUAGGGCAUAUUUCCUUCAAAAACAAUCUGUAACUCGGAUGGAAAAACUUUGUACACGAAAGUUGUUCGAAACGAUGAGAUGAAUCCGGAUCUGCAGCCCGUUCGUCCGCCACACAUCCGUAGCAUAGCAAACACACAACUUUCCCCCUCCGGUUCAUUUGUUCGAAAAUAGGGAACACUGGGGAUACUUUCCCGGAUGUUUCCGCCUUCGUCGGUAUCACCUCCUACCGCAUUAGGGCAUACCUAGCAUCGCGUUUUGCCUCCUUAUGUUUUGUGAUGCUUUGAUUGCUCAGUUAUUUAUUGUGUUCCCUCUCUGUUACUUCUUUCCGAUAGACCCCGAGACUGCCGGCGACCCCCAGUUCGACUACGGUGUUGGCGACUCGUCCUUCUUGCCAGAGCAACUAGGCAAGCCCCCCCCCCUUGAUCACCAGAUAUCACCUAUUCUUCUCUCUACUGCUUGCAUUAGAGUAGUGUAGCAUGUUACUGUUCGGUUACCACUAUUCUGUUGCAUAGCAUGUCAUUGUUGCUAUAGUCAUUGAUACCUUACCCGCAAUCCUAAAUGCUUAGUAUAGGAUGCUAGUUUAUCAUCAUUGGCCCUACAUUCUUGUCAGUCUGCCUUGCUAUACUAUAGGGCCGUGAUCACUCGAGAGGUGAUCACGGGUAUAUACUAUACAUAUAUAUAUACUAUACAUAUGGUGACUAAAGUCGGGUUGGCUCGUUGAGUACCUGCAAGUGAUUCUUAUGUGGGGGCCGAAAGGACAGGUGGCUCCAUCCCGGUAAAGGUGGGCCUGGGUUCCCGACGGCCCCCGACUGUUACUAUGUGGCGGAGCGACAGGGUAGGUUGAGACCACCUAGGAUAGAGGUGGGUCUGGCCCUGUUCGGCGUUUGCGGUUGCUUCAUAAUAACACACUUAACGAGAUCUUGGUAUUUGAUCUGAGUCUGGCCACUGGCCUAUACGCACUAACCAACUACGUGGGAAAGAUAUGGGCACUCGACGUCGUGGUAUCAGCCGAAGCCUUCGUGACGUCAGCGACUGAGCGGCGCGCGCCGGAUUGGAACGUAAGCCUGCUCUUGUAUUAAGGGGGCUAGUUCUGCUUCCGGCCGCAUUCGCAACAUGCAGGUGUGCAAUGGGCGAUGGGCCCAGACCCCUGCGUGCAUAGGAUUUAGACCGGCGUGCUAACCUCUCUGUUGUGCCUAAGUGGGGCUUCGACGUGUUGAUCUUCCGAGGUCGGGCAUGACCCAGGAAAGUGUGUCCGGCCAAAUGGGAUCGAGCGUGUUGAGUUAUGUGGUGCACCCCUGCAGGGAAGUUGAUCUAUUCAAAUAGCCGUGAUCCUCGAUAACAGGACGACUUGGAGUUGUACCUUGACCUUAUGACAACUAGAACCGGAUACUUAAUAAAACACACCCAGACAAGUUCCAGAGAUAACCCGGUGAUCGCUUUCCCACAGGGGGACGAGGGGAGGAUCGCCGGGUAGGAUUAGGCUAUGCGUUGCUACUUGGAGAACUUCAAUCUACUCUCUUCUACAUGCUGCAAGACGGAGGCUGCCUGAAGCGUAGUCUUUGAUAGGACUAGCUAUCCCCCUCUUAUUCUGGCAUUCUGCAGUUCAGUCCAUCGAUAUUGCCUCUUUACACAUAUACCCUUGCAUAUGUAGUGUAGAUCCUUGCUUGCGAGUACUUUGUAUGAGUACUCACGGUUGCUUUUCUCCCCCUUUUUCCUCCUUUCCUUUCUACCUGGUUGUCGCAACCAGAUGCUGGAGCCCAGGAGCCAGACGCCACCGUCAACGACGACUCCUACUGCACCGGGGGUGCCUACUUCUACGUGCAGGCCGCCGACGAUGAUCAGGAGUAGUUUAGGAGGAUCCCAGGCAGGAGGCCUGCGCCUCUUUCGAUCUGUAUCCCAGUUUGUGCUAGCCUUCUUAAGGCAAACUUGUUUAACUUAUGUCUGUACUCAGAUAUUGUUGCUUCCGCUGACUCGUCUAUGAUCGAGCACUUUUAUUCGAGCCCUCGAGGCCCCUGGCUUGUAAUAUGAUGCUUGUAUGACUUAUUUAUGUUUUUAGAGUUGUGUUGUGAUAUCUUCCCGUGAGUCCCUGAUCUUGAUCGUACACGUUUGCGUACAUGAUUAGUGUACUAUUGAAUCGGGGGCGUCACAAGUUGGUAUCAGAGCCGACUGCCUGUAGGAAUCCCCCUUCCACACUCCUUGGCCGAAGUCGAGUCUAGUCACUACAAAACUCUAACUUGGCUGUGUGCCUUACGGGCCCACGUCGCCAUUGGGUGGUAUUAGGAUCUUUAACUCCUCGUCUAUGCUCUGGGACUCUGAUCUCUCUUCUAUUUGGGUUAAAUGAUUUUGCAAAUUCUAACUCUAGGAUCUCGUAACUACUUCCUUCCGGAGAGCCCUUAGCACAAAUGAUCGCCUGCUGCACCGAAGGAUUUCAAAGACACUCUCCGAUGUUCUCUCAAGACUUUGUGUUUGUUGCUUUUGCAAUUCCCUACCACCGAAAUAUCCCUAUGGAUAAACACAUACACUUGCCGUUCAUACCUUUAUUCCCAGUUGAUCUUGUUAUUACAAGAUACCCUGAAAUCCUCUCUAUUGUUCCGAGAAUAUUUUGUGCCUACUGCCUUGCAGUUCCUUGCCACCUGAAUACCCCUACGGAUAAUUUCUUACACCUAUCGAGUAUUCGCUCAUCCGCAGUUGAUUAAUGUAUUUCACAAAGUCUUGAAAAUACCGUUCGUUCUUCUGAAAAUCCUCAACAGCCUAAUGCUCUUGAAAUUCUUGCUUGCUAGCUUUAUGAUUAAUCCCAUAAGUCUGGUACUCUUAUUAACCUUGUCAUUAUCAUUUUGAGUCCAUUGAUUCAAUAUGUUGCGAAUGCUCGCAAUCCUCAUCAGAUCCUAGAAUUCAUCAUUCUGGCUUAGACGUCAUUUGAAACAUGAGUUGGAUCUCGACCAAUCAAACUACUGUCAAUUGUAUCCCUAUGUCUACUCAACUUAUUCAUCCUUAAACCGAGCGUUUGCUUCUGAGCCCUUGAUUUGGAAAUCAUAAUUCCUUUGCAAUUGAGCUUUGAAUUAGUUAGUUGUUUCUAUCAUCUGAUCUCCUUGCAUUCUUUCUUUCUCUGAUUGUGUGUCGAUGCUCACAUCAGCUCCGCUAUGGACUGUCAAAUCCUUUGUUGGAUUUUUAUCCAACAGCCUCCUAUAUUAUCAUUAGCCUUGUGAGACUUUUCUUGGAUACAUAAUGCCCUUGGUAAAUUGUAUCCUCUGCUUCUCAACCAUGCUCUCCUUCUGAGCUUGAGUCAUUUACCCCUGAAGUUUGUGAUAUAUGUUUCCACGAUUCCCCGAUGGGUUCAACCUAGGCCUUCCCUAAUAUGUGUGACCUCGAAAGUUUUCACGAGUCAUACUCUUCUGGUAUUUUGGUAGAUAAAAUUUCAACAUUACAACUUCUUCGGAAAUGAGGAGUGAAUGGGUUAUGCAUUAGAGAAGUGGGAGUCGACCUUGAACUUUGUGUUCAUGCCCAUGGACACGAUGUAGAUCCUAUCAUGGAAGCUUCUUGUAAUAAUAACUAUUUCCUUGAUAGAUAUCAUCUGGUAUCUGUGAAUUGAUCCUUUGCAACCGUGGUUCAGACCAUGAUUGUUCUCCUUUGAUUCUAUUUCUUGGACAAGUUAAAGUACUUGCCUUCUGCAGAUCAGUACGCUUUCCCAACCUCUAUUUUGUUCUACCUUCGAGUAUUACCCCCUGGUAUCUCAAGGAUAUCAACCCAUUGCACUUCAUCUUAAGAAUUUCUAAUGAAGUAGUACCUUUCCCCAUCAUAGUCACUCCACGGGUUCUGGGUUGUCGUCAACCGAGAACACCGAUUUAUGAAUCGAGUCAACACUGAGAUUCGGUACUCCCAGUACUUUGUUGUUGAGAAGUUUAAUACUCCAUGACGUCACUCCUAGCCUGAUCGGCUACAUCAUUAUCGUGCUAAUUUUAACUGUGCUGUCGGGUCCUUAAUUCCGGAGCACUACUUUCAACGAUGAGCUAAGCUUAUGUCGAUCUUCCUUGUCUUAUCAUUUCACCUCGAACAACAAGCUUGAUUCCGAGUUGGUGUCGUAUCUGUGGUUCAAAUACUCUUUUGUUGCUUUAGUCCUUUUUGCUUGAUGAAGUCGCUAUUCGAUUGCUUCUUCAUGGAGGCUCUCGACAAAAUUUGUCGUGAUUAUGGUCAAGAUUUUGACUCCUUCCAGGAUACCAAUCGAAUUCAUGAUGAGAAAUAACAUCCUUGCCCCUCAAUGAUUUGUGUUAUCAUCGACAACAUUUUGCCUUCCCCCCAACACAAACUUGUUCCUGUUUUGUGUUAUACCUAGAGAUCCUUUCUAUCCAACUUAUGUUAUGAUUCUAUCUUGGAGUAUUGCUAUCUUUUAUGUCAAGAAUGUCAUGGGAAAUUCACCACCAUUAAGAAUUCUUGAUACAAGUGAUACUUAUUAACAUCACCAUUCUUUUCUUGGUCCCCGUGUUGUUUCUAACCGGAAUACCGACAAAUGGUCUUUGAUGUGUAAAUUCUAAACUUCUCGCAACCCUAUUGCUUUGAAGUUAUUGAUCUAUAGUUUCAUUCUACAUCUAUGGCUUAUUGAAUCAUCAUUUGAACAUUGAUCGUGCUACCUAGCCAAUAUUUCGAGUGCACAUUUCAACCAAUGUUUAACUGUGUAUGUUUUCCUCGAGCAUACAUCAUUAAGUCAUUUGAUCUAGCUAAUGUCAUCUCCUUGUUCACAUAGUUGUGAAAAUCCAUCUUUUUGGAAAUCUCAAUGGAUUGUCACUGAGUCAAUCAGUCACCUCCUCACCUCUCCUUGAUUUAAUGGUGAACCCUUGUUCGGAACUCGCUUCCAUAGUUCAUUUUCCGAGAAUCAUAUAAUGUUGUCUCGUCAAUUGUGUUGCACCUCUUCUUCUCAGGCAUCCUGAGUGUGAGGUAUCCUGACACCAAUCAGACCUGCAUCUUGGUCAGACAUGAUGGUUGGAACAUAUUCCCAAGAGUUAUAACAUUGGUCUUUAACCCGAUAAGGUGAUGUCAUGCCUAGCACACCUGGCCGGAGGACCUGUUGUUAUAGUUUCCUUUUUUAGCAAGGUUAGCCAUUCUUCCAUGAGGAAAUUGUAAGACUUAUUAUAUAAGUUGUUCCUGAUGGAUCCUUUGUGUAUCGAAAGUCUGACCUUACUUGACGACCAUGUCAAUGCUAUCUCGAAGCAUGUCGGUGGUACACUGAUUUUCAACAAGAACAUUUGAAGCCCAAUGCUAAAUGUUUCCUGCUCAAUUAUCGAAACACCACUGUCAAGGAAUUUCUCUCCCCUUUCCUAAAGGGUUUUCUACGUAAUAUCCCGUCAUGGAUAUCAUGCGCUGCUUGCCCUUGGGAAGGAUAUACCCCUGAAAUAAGUGUUUAAACACAUUUUCCUUUCCAUUGUUCUGUUUAAUCUGAUGAUCACCUUUUCCGUUCCAUUAUUUUGUUUAAUAUUUCUUGUGAUAUAUAUGAUCUAAGCAGUAAUAAUUCACUGCUUAUGUAAACACCUUGGUGUACUACUUUGUCAAUAAGACCCUGUUACUAUUGUUGAUGGCAUUCCGGUAGCCACCGAGGGACGAGAACCUUGCCUAUUGGUCCACCUCAUUCAACGAGCAAGACAAUGGUUCUCUUCGUCCCCCGCCCUUGGUACCGACAUUGUUGCCGACAUAGCUGACAAGCUAUCCAUUGACAUGCCUCCCUGUCGCGGUUGUGCAAGAUGUCACCACCCUUCCUACUUUCAACCCACAUGGUGGGCCCAUAACCCACAGGUCCACUGGAUCGAAAUCUAACUCUUCUUUACAACCCGGAUUCUAAUGUAUCCUUUGCACCUGGCUUCGUAUGUGAUUCACGAGCUAAAUGCUAUACCAUUAUUCAUCCUGGAAUUAAAUGCCAUGUUAUUUUGAUUGUUCAAACCCCCAUUCCAGCUUCUGUCUAGUCAUCGAAUGAUUGCCUACCCGUUAGAAACUUUGGUACCAUCGUAUAUUGCACUCAGUGAAUUCAUUGAAAUACGACUCGUGGGGUACCUUGUGUAUUUCCCAUUGAGUUCACCGUCAGAUGCCCAGCUUUGUGGAGAUGCAUUCUUCUGGAGUUUUUCCCCCUUGGUCACAUUCGUAGGACGAUGGAGAUCCCGAUAAAAGGAUGACAACUUGAUCAUGGUGACUUGAAGCAGAGAAAUGAAGACAUCAACGCAAUGGAUUGAUCUCUUCGAAAAGAGAAACCAAGACCAAGAACACUCGCUAGAAUUUCGUGUCCCGAAGCGUACCCCUUUACUCCAUCUCUUAAAUCUCGGGACGAGAUUUCUUGUAGUAGAGGAGAAUUGUGACACCCGGAUAAUCAAGCUACACUAACCCUCUACUAAUGAUGCCACGUCACCUCCAUUACGGUUACUAAUCUCGCAUUAGUUCGAAACCGAUUCAAAUCCAAAUUCAAAAUCAAAAAAAUAAUAAAAGUUUUCCAAUCUUAAAACUAAAAUGUUCGGAGUGAGCCAGAUGCAUAUGUAAUUAUGGAGGAGAAACCAACCUCUUUGGAAGUGUUUGAUUGUCCUAAAGUAAAUAAAAUAGUAGCAAAACAAUUAACUAAAUGCCUUUUACGAUUGAUAAAAUAUUAAACUAUUUUAUCUAGUUGCCCAAGUUUUUGUGGCAUUAGAAUAUGUAGUAACACUAUUUUAGGAACUAACUUUAUAUUUUACUAAAACUAAAGUAUAUUGGAAAUAAUAGAAAACAGUAAAGGAAAAAUAAGUGAAAAGAAAAGAAUAAAACAGAAAGCAAAAAUUAAAGAAAAGGACCCCUGCCAACUGGGCCAGACGGCCCAGCCGGCCAACCAACCAACCGUCCCAACCCCCCUCCAUAUCCCCACCAGGGGGAAACCCUAACUCCCCCUACCGCACACCCCCCCACUCCCCACGUCUCUCUCCCCGAUCCAGAUCGGGAUCGGGGGAGCGAACCCCCACAUCGCCCCCGACGCUAGCGCCACCCGGAUCGCCACCUCGCCGGAGGCCACGACGCCGGAGCUCCCUCGCCGGCCUGCUUCCUCCUCCCCACCGGCCUACCUCCUCUUCGCCGCCUCGUCCCCGACCCCCUCCUCGACCCCGUUGCCUCGUCCUCCGCUAUCCACGGUGAGGCCCUCGGCCUCUUCUUCCCCUCUCCGCCGCUCGGCAUGCUCCUCGCACCGGCCAUCACCCUCCCGCACUCCUGGCCACUGCGCUGCACGCGCCCACCAGCGUUGUUCGGCAUCCCGCACCAUUGCUGCCACUACUCCCUGCCUCGCGCCGCGGUGCCUCGCACUCGGGCCGCACCGCACCGUGAUACGUCUCCAACGUAUCUAUAAUUUUUGAUUGCUCCAUGCUAUAUUAUCUACUGUUUUGGGCAAUAUUGGGCUUUAUUAUCCACUUUUAUAUUAUUUUUGGGACUAACCUAUUAACCGGAGGCCUAGCCCAGAUUUACUAUUUUAUGCCUAUUUUAGUGUUUCGAGGAAAAGGAAUAUCAGACGGAGUCAAAACGGAAUGAAAUCAACUAGAGAAGUUAUUUUUGGAAGGAAACCCACCUAAUGGACUUGGACCCCACGUCACAAGAUACGGGAGGUGCUCACGAGGGUGGGGGCGCGCCCACCCCCUAGGGCAGGCCCCCCUGCCUCGUGGGGCCCCCAAAGCUCCACCGACGUACCCCUUGCACCCAUAUAUACCUACGUAUCGUAAAACUUCCAGAACAGAAGAUAGAUCGGGAGUUCCUCCGCCCCAAGCCUCUGUAGCCACCAAAAACCAAUCGGGACCCUGUUCUGGCACCCUGCCGGAGGGGGAUCCCAUCACCGGUGGCCAUCUUCAUCAUCCCGACGCUAUCCAUGACGAGGAGGAAGUAUUACACCCUCGGGGCUGAGGGUAUGUACCAGUAGCUAUGUGUUUGAUCUCUCUCUCUCAUGUUCUCUCUCGUGUUCCCUCUAUGGCACAAUCUUGAUGUAUCCCGAGCUUUGCUAUUGUAGUUGGAUCUUAUGAUGUUUCUCCCCCUCUACUCUCUUGUGAUGAAUUGAGUUUCCCCUUUGAAGUUAUCUUAUCGGAUUGAGUCUUUUAUGAGAACACUUGAUGUAUGUCUUGCCAUGAUUAUCUGUGGUGACAAUGGGAUAUCAUGUGCCACUUGAUGUAUGUUUUGGUGAUCAACUUGCGGGUUUCAUGACAUUGGGAACCUAUGCAUAGGGGUUGGCACACGUUCUUGACUCUCCAAUAGAAACUUUGGGGCACUCUUUGAAUUACUUUGUGUUGGUUCGAUGAAUCUGAGAUUGUGUGAUGCAUAUUGUAUAAUCAUGCCCAUGGAUACUUGAGGUGACAAUGGAGUAUCUAGGUGACAUUAGGGUUUUGGUUGAUUUGUGUCUUAAGGUGUUAUUCUAGUAUGAACUCUUUUAUAGAUUGAUCCGAAAGAAUAACUUUGAGGUGGUUUCAUACCCUACCAUAAUCUCUACAUUUGUUGUCCGCUAUUAGUGGCUCCGGAGUGACUCUUUGUUGCAUGUUGAGGGCUUGUUAUAUGAUCUAUCUAUGUUAUUAUUGUUGAGAGAACUUGCACUAGUGAAAAUAUGAACCCUAGGCCUUGUUUCCUAUCAUUGCAAUACCGUUUACGCUCACUCUUAUCAGUAGUUACCUUGCUGUUUUUAUUAUUUCAGAUUUCAAAUACCUUUAUCUACCUAUUAAAGUUGCUCGUCAGCCGACACCACACCCGAAGAGUCGGCAAGAAAUGCAUAUAUUUGGAAACUCAGCUAAACAGAAUGGAAUUGUCAGCAGACUGCAGUGAAAUAGAAAAUAGCUCGUCUGGAUGCAAAAGAAAUCCUGGGUGGACCGUCAGUAUCAAGUUUAGAUUAGCGUGCACUCAUCACAACAAAAUGAUUAAAUCAGCAAGAAGAUAAAUUGUGUGCAAGGAUGACAGAAUAUUAUCAAAGGUAUGGCUCAGAUACAAGUUUAAUUUUUCGUUGAGGAUGGUUUUGGAACUCGAUGUACCUGGAAGCAAGCAAAAAUAUGGCAUAUACUCAGAAAGGAGGAUAGUCCAGUAAAACCCUGUUUCAUGCAAGAAAUCAAUAGCAAAAAUAUUUAGAUGGUUAUAUAUGUGGAAAUCGGUCCGCAUACCACAAUAAGAAGUUUCUGGUGUAAGCAACCCACUUUUCCCUCGCAAGAUACCAGAGAAGCUUCCAAGGCAAGAUUCAUCUAUCUUACUCAGUAUGAUACAUGGAUGACUUCUCGCGCAAGGUACUCUGCCUUCUUCAGUAAGCAACCGCAAAAGCUUCCAGCAUAAGGUACUGAGUCUUUCCCCAGCAAAGUCUUUAAGGGGGUAAGCUUCUGAAGCACGAUACCCAGUCUUCUUCAGCAAGCUGUCCGAUGAAAGUUUUGAGCACAAGCAAGCCAAUCUUCGUAAGUAAGACAUUGGUACAAGGUAGUACGCUGUGAAUUGACAGCAUAUGGCAGUGAAUCCCAAGAAUCAGAUCCGCAACAUUUUGGUCGGAGUCAAGAAUCAGUCAGAAUACAUGUCUGUCUCGGAAUCAGGUCCUCAUAUAUAUGCAAUGAGCAUACCAUCAAGAUCUUACAAGUCACUUGGAUGAGGAUGUGACAAAGUAUUAUGAGGAUUGACGACAUCAAUGAGCUCAAUACAAGUACCCAUGAACCUGGAAAAUGAUCCUGAUGAGCCCUUGUCCCCCUUUUCUCCAAUGACGGCACCACGCCUGUGAUUUGAGCUAUUUUCUAGCUAUCCGGGGUGGAUGCCGAUUUUUGUUUCUCUCUUCAACAACUGUCACGAGUUUGAGCUGCUUUUCGGCCAUCUCGUACAGCUGUUGAGUUUCUUUUUGUGACAGUAGCCCUAUAGCUGCUUUUUGGCUAUUUUAGGGAGCUGCCACCUUCUUCUUAUCGACCCGGUCUCAUGCUCUGAGCUGCUUUUUGGCCGUCCUGAGCCAUGGUUGAGUUAUUCCAGUAAUGUCCCAAGAUUUGAGUUGUAAAGACCGUUCUAGUGGCUACUGAUUUAUUUGCCGAUUUCUUGCAAAAGUUUUGGAUGAUCAUUUUCCUGCGAUCAGAAAAUAAGAGGUGUUGAACCUGCCAUUUAAUGGGUUACCCUGUCAGAAAAAUGAGGAUAAGCUAAAAUUUCCGUAAAAUUGCACCGACAUUACCUAUGGUCAUACGAAGAAGCAAUAUGGCCCAGCUCUUUCAACCAAAUAUCCAGACCAAGAAAACAAUAAUGAAGGAGCAAGACCAGUGAUGCGGGUAUGAAAAUUGUACACGACCCCCAUGGUGCAGAUCCCCCGGACAGUCUAAGUCAGUAUUGAUCCACAUGGAUAUGCCUACAGCAUGAGUAAUGGGCAUGAGGAAUAACCAUCUGGAAGCGUGAGUCCUCACUUAUAUGAAUCAUCAUGGAUAGCCUAUCAUGAACAAAAUUUUUCCGUCAGAACCACCGUCAGUCAAGUCUACAGAUAUUAUCAUACACGCCAAAUCCUUUAUGCUGGCCGCGACAGGAGACAAUCAAAUAUUUGGUACGGAUCCAAUACUCUCGACAGUGGAACCGGUUAAGAUGAUUGAAAAACUUCUGCGAUGAGUCAGAAUCUGUCAGGCAAUGGUUAUGUUUUAACUCACUGUUUGGAACCCAAAGGAUCUGCAUUUAGUGGAGAAACCCAAUGCAAUGAGUCAGAGCUUGAGUUUUCAUUAGAAAAAUCUGAUCAUCAUUACAUGAAAGGUCAUCACUGCCGGGUGGCACACCCAGUGGAAAUCACUUUUGGAUUUGUGAGACGGACAUAUAUUUUUCAGUUGUGAUAAUCAAAUCACACUCAGCUAGUCAGUAGAUCUAAAAAGAAAUUGGAGCCUAUGUAAGCAUGAACAAGCAAGGUAAGAUCUGUCAGAAGGAGGAUACAGUGAAUCAAACCACCCCAGGGCCAGUCAGAUAAAAAUUUAAUGGGAACAACAAUAAAAUAAAAAGGAUACCCGAGAUGGAAACGGUUUCCUUAAGUCAGAAUAUUCAUACUUGUUCCCUGAGCAACCAAAUCUCGAGGACGAGAUUUCUUUAAGGGGGUAAGGUUUGUGACAGCCUGAUUUUUGGCCCUUUCUUUUCCUUUUGUUUUUCCAAGGUUUUUGCCUGAGUUUUUCUUUUUCAUGGCUUUGUGGUCUAGAAACUGAAGAAGAUGCCCUCUUCUUUGCUUCCAGAGUGGCUUGUCAUGUCCAAAUCCUUCCCUAGACCCUGUCAUUUCCAUCCUAGCCCAAAUCCCAAUAUUCCUUUAUUGGGAAUAUUCCUUUUCUAUUAAAGGAAUAACUCAGAUUGCCCUAGGUUGUGAAGCAACCUAUAUUUCCCUCACUCCUAAAAUUCCCAAAUAAUUCUCAUAAUUCCUUUGGGUCAUAUAUAGCUCAAAUAUGCCCAAACAUUGCCUUGGCCAGUUCAGAAAUAAUUCCCCAAUAUUCCUUUUUCUAUUCUGCCCUGAAUGGCACUUUGUGAAGGAAGUGUCAUUUAUAUUUAUCCUAGUGGCUCCCAACCUUUUUGGUCAUGUUGAUAUGCCAAAAUAAUUGCAUUAUGCACAAGUUCAAAUUUAUUUGCCUAGCCAAUCUUCCUGAGGGAAUUUUCAAAGUUUCUGUCAAACAGAAGGCUUUGUGAAGGAAGUACUAGCUAGGAGUAUCCAAAUGAGAUGAACUUUUGCACACUCCUUAAUGUGCUCAUGUUAACCCCUUCCACCAAUUUGCAGCCCCAUCAAAUUAUGUAUGUGAGCACAGGAGCAAAUCUUUUAUUCUGGCGAUAUUUUCAGGUUGUGAAGCAACUGCAUUUUGUAUUGCUUUAAAAAUCCUGAUAAAUUACCAGAUCAUUAUUCUACCCAUAAAGAAUCUCUCCACCCAAUUUGGAAUCAUCUCAUUGACCCAUUUCAUCACCAUAAUUAUUCCAAGUUUCUGGACAGAAAUGAUGUUUGUGAAGCAAGUGCCAUUUUGGCUUGUCCAUUUGGCAUGAGCUUUUUACAACAUCUUUAUAUGUCCAUAUCAUGAGGAUUUUCCAAGUUGCAUCCCAUUCCAUAACUCCAUGUGAGAGCAUCAUCAUGAUCUUCAUUUCUGGACCAAAAAUGCAGUUGUGAAGCAACUACAGUAAAUCUGGAUCCAUUUACCCCCAAAACCUCCAGGAUGAAAGUCCUUCGAUAGAUAAACCUCCCAGACAAGCUAUUUACUGAGUUACCUAGCUGGUGUCCCCACUGCACAGCACAAACACCUGGCUGCUAAUUUACUUUGGAGCUAAGUGCAAAUCACUUCUUUGCCCCUGGAACGAUUUGUUUCCUUAUUUAUACUUAGGUCACUAGGGUCAUUCCACUGGACAUGGUCGACCCGGCCAGAACACGCCAUUUGCACCAGAGCCCGUGGUGAUCACGUUGGCGUCACGCUCAUUUCAUGGUCUGGCUGGUUCCUGACAUUGUUCUCGUCUCCUUCCUCCUCAUCUCGACCUCCAACCAUGUCUAGUAGCUGCCCCGUGAGCCUCUGCAUCGCCCUGUGCCUCUUCCUCGUAGCCGUUCGCCAUAAAUGAGUCGCUAGCUCCACGCCCGUGCCACGUCCAGCCUCUACCCGCCAUUAAAGCUUGGUCGGGAGCUCGCCCGUGAGCUCCAGAAGCCUCCCCUCGGCCUAUAUAAGGACCCCUAGACUCCUCCGCAGCUCCCAAGCCCCUCCUUGUCCCUCCUAGUCCACCGGAGCAAUGGCAUCUCGCCGGAGUUCGCCUCUGUCCUCCAUGGAUGCCUCGGCCUCGGCGUGAUUCCGGCCAACCCAGGCCUCCCCUCGUCCCCCCACCACCUCCAAAGCCUCCCCCUCGUCCUGCUGAGUCGCCCCACCCACUUGCCCCUUGUCGGAGUAGCCCGCAUCACCGAUAGCCACCGCCGGCGCUCGCCUUCUGUCCUCCUCGAGUCGCCGCCCUGCGCCGCCGUUCCAGGCCUCCCGGCGGCCGCUCUUCGCCUAAAUGGAUGCGGCUGGGCGUUGCGCACCCGUCGGUGCCUUCGGUCGGGCCGGGGAUCACUGGAGCCGGCCGGCCCCUUGGCCGCUCCCCUCCCCUGCCCCGCUCUGUUCCACGGGAGGAACAGAGGCGCAGGAGGAACAGGACGACCUCGCUGGCCCCUCCCCCUGCCCCUGGGCCCCACGCGCCAGUGGCCCAGGCGCCUCAGCCCACGUUGCAAGUGGAAACGUAUUCGAUCGUGUACGCUUUCAAUUUUCUGUCCAGGCCCCUCUUUGAAAAUCUUUUCAUUGCAGAUAGGUCCCUGGUAGAAAAACAUCCACAACUUUUUAACCGUAGCUCCAAAUGAGGUGAUUCCAAAUCCUACUUCUUUGUUUCAUUGAGCCCGUUCUGUUGGUCAAGCUUUCGCUAUGGUUUAAUCCGAGAGAGAACGUUUUAUGGCGAUUCGUUCCGCGAGUUUCUCGCACUUCUCCCCGGUGAUUUCUUCCACCCCAGGCAAGCCACAAUACCCACUUGCAUGAUAGUCAUGCAGUAGCCAUGGUUUUCAACUUGAAUCUUUAUUAAAUGUUUGCUUGUUGAAAAGAUGGUUAUCAUUGUUCCAGUAAUGUUUAGAUUUGCAUGACCACUUUUGUGCUAUGUUAUCUUGUACUCUGUUAUCAUGUUCUACCUUCUACUAUUUCCUUUCAUAUGUUUAUGCUUGCUAGUAGUACAUGUUGAUGUUGGUGAUGGUCAUGCUAGUCAGUAUGCCAUGCUCAGUGGAUAUGAUUUAUUGUCGAUAUGGUGGAUAGUUAUGUGAUACACUCAUGAUUAUGUUGAUAUCAUGUUCAUGCAUUUUAUCAUGGCUUAGCAUAUUUGCAUUCAAGUUAACCGGAUUAAAUUGAACUUGAGCAACUGUUGGCUGAGUCAUGGUGCCGCUGAAUCGAUGCUGAUCAGUGCAACCACGCUUACUGGUAUGGGACGGUCCUAACUGGGUCUAUUGUCGUGCCUCUCACCGGUGCCUCCAACGAGGGAAGUUUAUGGGCGCGCGCUACCCUGAUCAGGUAGGCGGACAUAAGCCUUGUGUGCCCGUUGUUGUUGUUAUGUGCACAUGUCCCCGUUUUGGACGGUUUAUUGUUUUGGGCCACGACGGUGGUCGUUGUGUCUUGAGGUAGACACGGGGCCACCCAUGACUUAGCCCAGUGGGGAGUCAGUCGGAGUGGUCGGGAGAGUGUCAUGGCAGUAGGACGGUUUUGUGAGAACGUCGUUGGUCCACCCGAAUGGGAGUGCGAGGCCAUGGGUUCCAUAGUGUGGGUACAGUGUACUAACCUUUGCAGAGUGUAUAUUAAAUCUAUCGAUAGCCGCACCCGCGGAUAAGGGCCCAGUCCAAAAGUAGGGUACACCAUGAGUCAACAGUAAUAAGAAUAACUUGAUUUAUGACAACUCGUGGUUGUGAUUGCCGUAAGGAUCACGGUUUGAGACCAAGUGUGGGUCGGGGUUGUGAUCGCCGUAAGGAUCACGGUGGUAUCGAGGAUACCGAGGCGUUGUAUAUUUGUGAUAUUGUGCAAUAAUCGUGGGUAAUGAUCAAGCUCCUUGUGGUCAUUUACUGAUCGCUACGGUAUUGUUUAUACCAAGCUUGAUUUGAUCCUGAGAUGAUCGUGUGAUGUCCGAGGUGGGUAAGUGAUGCAUGUGACGGUUACCAAGUAACCCGAGCAAAAUAAGUGGUGCAUAUAGUGUCAUCAUGUUGCAUGCUAGUAUUGUUGGAUUAAUAUGUUCAUGUUGUGUUAGCUAUAUCAUGUUCAUGUUAUAUUGUUCUAAUGAUAUCAUGAUAAUCCCUGCUUAACCUGUAAUUGUCAUGCUGUUGUUUGCCUUGAAUGCUUCUGGUUAUUGUGAGCUUGCAAGUACAUUCAAUGUACUGACCUGGUGUGUCAUGCCAGUUUGCAGGUCAUUCCGGAUUUGAUUGCUUGUUUGCCGUGGAGUCCUUGUUUGCGAGCUAGGAUAAGCGUUCCAGCCAGAGUCCCUGCAGAGUGGAGUUCACCACCGUCGUCGUUGUUCCGCUGCUAGAGUUCUUCCGCUGCAUCAUGUUG